GUCCGGGUGGUGAAACUGGUAGACACGCCAUCUUGAGGGGGUGGUGGCCUAACGGCUGUGGGGGUUCGAAUCCCCCUCCGGACA
rnacentral:tRNA from 1 species